GGCAAUCCCCUAAUGUUCCCUUCCACCUUGUGGAAGUUUUGUUCUUUCGCUCUUUGCAAUAAAUCCCAUUGUUGCUCGCUCUUUGGGGUCUCACUGUCUGUGCGAGCUGUAAUACUCGCCGCAAAGGUGUCUGGCUUCACUUCCGAGACCAGCGAGACCCCGAACCCACCGGGAGGAAUGAACAACUCCGGAUGGGAGGGACAAACAACACCAGACGCACCGCCUUAAGAGUCCUAACGCUCACCGCGGAGGUCUGCGGCUUCACUCUUGAAUGAAGCCAGCGAGAUCACAAACCCACCAGAAGGAAGGAACUCUGAACACAUCCGAAAAUCAGAAGGAACAAACUCCGGACACACUACCUUUAAGAACUGUAACACUCAAAUCGCGAGGGUCCACGGCUUCGUUCUUGAAGUCAGUGAGACCAAGAACCCACAAAUUCCGGACACUUCGAAUUUUCAGACAAUAAUU
rnacentral:lncRNA from 1 species